rnacentral:rRNA from 1 species
UACAGAGGUGGCAAGCGUUGUUCGGAAUUACUGGGCGUAAAGGGCGCGUAGGCGGUUCGUUAAGUCCUGUGUGAAAUCCCACGGCCCAACCGUGGAAGUGCCUUGGAUACUGGAGACCUCGAGGGGGAUAGGGGCGUGCGGAACUCAGGGUGGAGCGGUGAAAUGCGUAGAUAUCCUGAGGAACACCGGUGGCGAAAGCGGCGCGCUGGAUCCCUUCUGACGCUGAGGCGCGAAAGCCAGGGGAGCAAACGGG